AGAAGAAGAAGAAGACACACCUCCUCUGUGAGGACUGAACUCAUACAUUAGAAUUGGAGCACAGAGAACAUUAAUACACUGAUCUGACAGUAAACAUGGUAAAAUGCCUGUUUCUGAUUUUAAUUCUGACUCCAGGUGUGAUGACUGCAGACCAGAUCAGGCCAAAUCAAGAAACUAGUGUCAAGAAUGAAGAUGAGACUGUUACCCUCAGCUGCUCAUAUGAUACAAGCAGCAGAUAUGUUAGACUUUACUGGUACAGACAGUAUCCUAAUAAAGAACCUCAGUAUUUAAUGUGGAAAGAGGCUCGGGAUUGGAGUAGCACUGGGACCCCAGCUGAUCCUCGCUUUCAGGCGACUACAUCAGAAACAUCCACUGAACUCACUAUUACUGGUGUAACUCUGUCAGAUUCAGCUCUCUAUUAUUGUGCUCUAUGGAGCCCAUCCUCAUCUAAACUGACUGAAAAUCUCUGGAAAAUCCUUGGCGACAGAGUUAUGGCUAAGAAACCCAUUCAGUUACCAAACUAUGGAAGAGAGUGA